UUCGCAAUGCCCGAAAGGGUGAACGAGCGACGCCGCGUGCGGGAUGAAGGCCUUCGGGUCGUAAACCGCUUUUGUAAGGGAAAAACUUAAUGAUGGUACCAUACGAAUAAGAGGUUACUAACUCUGUGCCAGCAGUAGCGGUAAUACAGAGACCUCAAGCGUUAUCCGGAAUCACUGGGCAUAAAGCGCAUGUAGGCGGCCUCAAAAGUCAGGUGUGAAAUCCCCCGGCCCACCCGGGGAAUUGUAUUCGAAACUGAGGGGCUCGAGUGAUGGAGGGGAGAGUGGAACUCCUGGUGGAGCGGUAAAAUGCGUAGAUAUCAGGAGGAACGCCGGUGGAGAAGUCGACUCUCUGGCCAUCUACUGACGCUGAGAUGUGAAAGCUAGGGGAGCAAACGGGAUUAGAUACCCCGGUAGUCCUAGCCGUAAACGAUGGGCACUAAGUAGAGGGGUUUU
rnacentral:rRNA from 1 species